rnacentral:rRNA from 1 species
GACGAACGCUGGCGGCGUGCUUAAUACAUGCAAGUCAACUGAACUUAAGGUAGCAAUAUUUUAAGGGAGGUGGCGCACGGGUGAGUAACACGUAGGUAAUCUGCCUUUAGGUCUGACAUAAUUCCGCGAAAGCGGGACUAAUAUCAGAUGAUGCAGCGGCUCGACAUCGAGACAGUUGUUAAACCUUCGGGGCCUAAAGAUGAGCCUGCGUCUGAUUAGGUAGNGGUCGGAGUAAAAGACCCACCAAGCCUGCGAUCAGUAGCUGGUCUGAGAGGAUGAUCAGCCACACUGGAACUGAGACACGGUCCAGACUCCUACGGGAGGCAGCAGUAAGGAAUAUUGCUCAAUGGCCGAAAGGCUGAAGCAGCAACGCCGCGUGGAGGAUGAAAUACUUUUGUA